rnacentral:rRNA from 1 species
CAGCAGCCACGGUAACACGUAGGGUGCAAGCGUUAAUCGGAAUUACUGGGCGUAAAGCGUGCGCAGGCGGUUAUAUAAGACAGAUGUGAAAUCCCCGGGCUCAACCUGGGAACUGCAUUUGUGACUGUAUAGCUAGAGUACGGCAGAGGGGGAUGGAAUUCCGCGUGUAGCAGUGAAAUGCGUAGAUAUGCGGAGGAACACCGAUGGCGAAGGCAAUCCCCUGGGCCUGUACUGACGCUCAUGCACGAAAGCGUGGGGAGCAAACAGGAUUAGAUACCCCGGUAGUCCCUGUCUCUUAUAU